CCUACGGGUGGCUGCAGUGGGGAAUAUUGGACAAUGGGCGAAAGCCUGAUCCAGCCAUGCCGCGUGUGUGAAGAAGGCCUUCGGGUUGUAAAGCACUUUCAGUGGGGAAGAAAGCCUUGGGGCUAAUACCCUCGAGGAAGGACAUCACCCACAGAAGAAGCACCGGCUAACUCCGUGCCAGCAGCCGCGGUAAUACGGAGGGUGCGAGCGUUAAUCGGAAUUACUGGGCGUAAAGCGCGCGUAGGCGGUCUGAUAAGCCGGUUGUGAAAGCCCCGGGCUCAACCUGGGAACGGCAUCCGGAACUGUCAGGCUAGAGUGCAGGAGAGGAAGGUAGAAGUCCCGGUGUAGCGGUGAAAUGCGUAGAGAUCGGGAGGAAUACCAGUGGCGAAGGCGGCCUUCUGGACUGACACUGACGCUGAGGUGCGAAAGCGUGGGUAGCAAACAGGAUUAAUACCCCUGUAGUC
rnacentral:rRNA from 1 species